rnacentral:rRNA from 1 species
UAGGGCGGGACACGAGGAAUCCUGUCUGAAUCCGGGUCGACCACGAUCCAACCCUAAAUACUAAUACCAGAUCGAUAGUGCACAAGUACCGUGAGGGAAAGGUGAAAAGAACUGAGGUGAUCAGAGUGAAAUAGAACCUGAAACCAUUUGCUUACAAUCAUUCAGAGCACUAUGUAGCAAUACAGUGUGAUGGACUGCCUUUUGCAUAAUGAGCCUGCGAGUUGUGGUGUCUGGCAAGGUUAAGCAAACGCGAAGCCGUAGCGAAAGCGAGUCUGAAUAGGGCGCUUAGUCAGAUGCUGCAGACCCGAAACGAAGUGAUCUAUCCAUGAGCAAGUUGAAGCUAGUGUAAGAACUAGUGGAGGACUGAACCCAUAGGCGUUGAAAAGCCCCGGGAUGACUUGUGGAUAGGGGUGAAAGGCCAAUCAAACUUCGUGAUAGCUGGUUCUCUCCGAAAUAUAUUUAGGUAUAGCGUUGUGUCGUAAUAUAAGGGGGUAGAGCACUGAAUGGGCUAGGGCAUACACCAAUGUACCAAACCCUAUCAAACUCCGAAUACCUUAUAUGUAAUCACAGCAGUCAGGCGGCGAGUGAUAAAAUCCGUCGUCAAGAGGGAAACAACCCAGACUACCAGCUAAGGUCCCUAAAUCUUACUUAAGUGGAAAACGAUGUGAAGUUACUUAAACAACCAGGAGGUUGGCUUAGAAGCAGCCAUCCUUUAAAGAAAGCGUAAUAGCUCACUGGUCUAGUGAUUUUGCGCGGAAAAUA